AAGGAAGAUUUCAGUGAACAGACACAUAUUCACCUCAGCCUUUUUGUGAAUUCUGAACUCUUUCAAGAUCUAAGUCAAUUACAGGAAACAUGGCUUGCAGAAGCUCAGGUACCUGACAAUGAUGAGCAGUUUGUACCAGACUAUCAGGCUGAAAGUUUGGCUUUUCAUGGCCUGCCACUGAAAAUCAAGAAAGAACCCCACAGUCCAUGUUCAGAAAUCAGCUCUGCCUGCAGUCAAGAACAGCCCUUUAAAUUCAGCUAUGGAGAAAAGUGCCUGUACAAUGUCAGUGCCUAUGAUCAGAAGCCACAAGUGGGAAUGAGGCCCUCCAACCCCCCCACACCAUCCAGCACGCCAGUGUCCCCACUGCAUCAUGCAUCUCCAAACUCAACUCAUACACCGAAACCUGACCGGGCCUUCCCAGCUCACCUCCCUCCAUCGCAGUCCAUACCAGAUAGCAGCUACCCCAUGGACCACAGAUUUCGCCGCCAGCUUUCUGAACCCUGUAACUCCUUUCCUCCUUUGCCGACGAUGCCAAGGGAAGGACGUCCUAUGUACCAACGCCAGAUGUCUGAGCCAAACAUCCC
rnacentral:lncRNA from 1 species